rnacentral:lncRNA from 1 species
AUACUGGAGUGAUGGAGGUAGAUAUGUAUAGGGGACAGGGAUACUGGAGUGAUGGAGGUAGAUAUGUAUAGGGGGAAGGAGACAGGGAUACUGGAGUGAUGGAGGUAGAUAUGUAUAGGGGACAGGGAUACUGGAGUGAUGGAGGUAGAUGUGUAUAGGGGACAGGGAUACUGGAGUGAUGGAGGUAGAUAUGUAUAGGGGAAGGAGACAGGGAUACUGGAGUGAUGGAGGUAGAUAUGUAUAGGAGACAGGGAUACUGGAGUGAUGGAGGUAGAUAUGUAUAGGGGACAGGGAUACUGGAGUGAUGGAGGUAGAUAUGUAUAGGGGGAAGGAGACAGGGAUACUGGAGUGAUGGAGGUAGAUAUGUAUAGGGGACAGGG